AACUAACGCUGGCGGCGCGCCUAACACAUGCAAGUCGAGCGAGAAAAUGGACCUUCGGGUCCCAUGAGUAAAGCGGCGCACGGGUGAGUAACGCGUGAGUAACCUAUCCUUGAGUCUGGGAUAACACCGCGAAAGUGGUGCUAAUACCGGAUGAGACCACAGAUACCUUGGUAUCAGCGGUCAAAGAUGGCCUCUUCUUGAAAGCUGUCGCUUAAGGCCGGGCUCGCGUACCAUUAGCUAGUUGGUAGGGUAAUGGCCUACCAAGGCUACGAUGGUUAGCUGGUCUGAGAGGACGAUCAGCCACACUGGAACUGGAACACGGUCCAGACUCCUACGGGAGGCAGCAGUGAGGAAUCUUGCGCAAUGGGGGAAACCCUGACGCAGCGACGCCGCGUGGGUGAUGAAGGCCUUCGGGUCGUAAAGCCCUGUCGAGAGGGAAGAAUUGCUUUCUGGUUAAUAGCCUGAAAGUUUGACGGUACCUCCAAAGGAAGCACCGGCUAACUCCGUGCCAGCAGCCGCGGUAACACGGAGGGUGCUAGCGUUGUUCGGAAUCACUGGGCGUAAAGGGCGAGUAGGCGGUUUGGUAAGUCAGGUGUGAAAUCCCUGGGCUCAACCCAGGACGUGCACAUGAUACUGCCAUUCUUGAGUACGGGAGAGGGAGGCGGAAUUCCGAGUGUAGAGGUGAAAUUCGUAGAUAUUCGGAGGAACAUCGGUGGCGAACGCGGCCUCCUGGACCGAUACUGACGCUGAGGCGCGAAAGCGUGGGGAGCAAACAGGA
rnacentral:rRNA from 1 species